rnacentral:rRNA from 1 species
GGUUAAGCGACUAAGCGUACACGGUGGAUGCCCUGGCAGUCAGAGGCGAUGAAGGACGUGCUAAUCUGCGAAAAGCGCCGGCGAGGUGAUAUGAACCUUUGACCCGGCGAUGUCCGAAUGGGGAAACCCAGUGCAAUUCGUUGCACUAUCGUUAACUGAAUACAUAGGUUAACGAGGCGAACCGGGGGAACUGAAACAUCUAAGUACCCCGAGGAAAAGAAAUCAACCGAGAUUCCCCCAGUAGCGGCGAGCGAACGGGGAGCAGCCCAGAGUCUGAAUCAGCUUGUGUGUUAGUGGAAGCGUCUGGAAAGUCGCACGGUACAGGGUGACAGUCCCGUACACGAAAAUGCACAGGUUGUGAACUCGAAGAGUAGGGCGGGACACGUGGUAUCCUGUCUGAAUAUGGGGGGACCAUCCUCCAAGGCUAAAUACUCCUGACUGACCGAUAGUGAACCAGUACCGUGAGGGAAAGGCGAAAAGAACCCCGGCGAGGGGAGUGAAAAAGAACCUGAAACCGUGUACGUACAAGCAGUGGGAGCACCUUCGUGGUGUGACUGCGUACCUUUUGUAUAAUGGGUCAGCGACUUAUAUUCUGUAGCAAGGUUAACCGUAUAGGGGAGCCGAAGGGAAACCGAGUCUUAACUGGGCGUUAAGUUGCAGGGUAUAGACCCGAAACCCGGUGAUCUAGCCAUGGGCAGGUUGAAGGUUGGGUAACACUAACUGGAGGACCGAACCGACUAAUGUUGAAAAAUUAGCGGAUGACUUGUGGCUGGGGGUGAAAGGCCAAUCAAACCGGGAGAUAGCUGGUUCUCCCCGAAAGCUAUUUAGGUAGCGCCUCGUGAACUCAUCUUCGGGGGUAGAGCACUGUUUCGGCUAGGGGGCCAUCCCGGCUUACCAACCCGAUGCAAACUACGAAUACCGAAGAAUGUUAUCACGGGAGACACACGGCGGGUGCUAACGUCCGUCGUGAAGAGGGAAACAACCCAGACCGCCAGCUAAGGUCCCAAAGUCAUGGUUAAGUGGGAAACGAUGUGGGAAGGCACAGACAGCCAGGAUGUUGGCUUAGAAGCAGCCAUCAUUUAAAGAAAGCGUAAUAGCUCACUGGUCGAGUCGGCCUGCGCGGAAGAUGUAACGGGGCUAAACCAUGCACCGAAGCUGCGGCAGCGACACUAUGUGUUGUUGGGUAGGGGAGCGUUCUGUAAGCCGUUGAAGGUGUGCUGUGAGGCAUGCUGGAGGUAUCAGAAGUGCGAAUGCUGACAUAAGUAACGAUAAAGCGGGUGAAAAGCCCGCUCGCCGGAAGACCAAGGGUUCCUGUCCAACGUUAAUCGGGGCAGGGUGAGUCGACCCCUAAGGCGAGGCCGAAAGGCGUAGUCGAUGGGAAACAGGUUAAUAUUCCUGUACUUGGUGUUACUGCGAAGGGGGGACGGAGAAGGCUAUGUUAGCCGGGCGACGGUUGUCCCGGUUUAAGCAUGUAGGCGGAGGUUCCAGGUAAAUCCGGUACCUUUUAACGCUGAGGUGUGAUGACGAGGCACUACGGUGCUGAAGUAACAAAUGCCCUGCUUCCAGGAAAAGCCUCUAAGCAUCAGGUAACAUCAAAUCGUACCCCAAACCGACACAGGUGGUCAGGUAGAGAAUACCAAGGCGCUUGAGAGAACUCGGGUGAAGGAACUAGGCAAAAUGGUGCCGUAACUUCGGGAGAAGGCACGCUGAUAUGUAGGUGAAGCCCCUGCGGGUGGAGCUGAAAUCAGUCGAAGAUACCAGCUGGCUGCAACUGUUUAUUAAAAACACAGCACUGUGCAAACACGAAAGUGGACGUAUACGGUGUGACGCCUGCCCGGUGCCGGAAGGUUAAUUGAUGGGGUUAGCGGCAACGCGAAGCUCUUGAUCGAAGCCCCGGUAAACGGCGGCCGUAACUAUAACGGUCCUAAGGUAGCGAAAUUCCUUGUCGGGUAAGUUCCGACCUGCACGAAUGGCGUAAUGAUGGCCAGGCUGUCUCCACCCGAGACUCAGUGAAAUUGAACUCGCUGUGAAGAUGCAGUGUACCCGCGGCAAGACGGAAAGACCCCGUGAACCUUUACUAUAGCUUGACACUGAACACUGGUCCUUGAUGUGUAGGAUAGGUGGGAGGCUUUGAAGCGUGGACGCCAGUCUGCGUGGAGCCGUCCUUGAAAUACCACCCUUUAAUGGCUGGUGUUCUAACGUAGACCCGUAAUCCGGGUUGCGGACAGUGUCUGGUGGGUAGUUUGACUGGGGCGGUCUCCUCCCAAAGAGUAACGGAGGAGCACGAAGGUUAGCUAAUCCUGGUCGGACAUCAGGAGGUUAGUGCAAUGGCAUAAGCUAGCUUGACUGCGAGAGUGACGGCUCGAGCAGGUGCGAAAGCAGGUCAUAGUGAUCCGGUGGUUCUGAAUGGAAGGGCCAUCGCUCAACGGAUAAAAGGUACUCCGGGGAUAACAGGCUGAUACCGCCCAAGAGUUCAUAUCGACGGCGGUGUUUGGCACCUCGAUGUCGGCUCAUCACAUCCUGGGGCUGAAGUAGGUCCCAAGGGUAUGGCUGUUCGCCAUUUAAAGUGGUACGCGAGCUGGGUUUAGAACGUCGUGAGACAGUUCGGUCCCUAUCUGCCGUGGGCGCUGGAGAAUUGAGGGGGGCUGCUCCUAGUACGAGAGGACCGGAGUGGACGCAUCACUGGUGUUCGGGUUGUCAUGCCAAUGGCACUGCCCGGUAGCUAAAUGCGGAAAAGAUAAGUGCUGAAAGCAUCUAAGCACGAAACUUGCCCCGAGAUGAGUUCUCCCUGAGACUUUAAGUCUCCUGAAGGAACGUUGAAGACGACGACGUUGAUAGGUCGGGUGUGUAAGCGCAGCGAUGCGUUGAGCUAACCGAUACUAAUGAACCGUGAGGCUUAACCUU